AAACCAUGGUUAGGGCACUUUUCGGAGAAGGGCUUUGAAGCGAGCAAAUGCCUCAUAGAGGGGUUCGUCAUGGCCUUGUAUGAAUUGGAAGAUCUCGCUUUUGAGCUU